CCUACGGGUGGCUGCAGUAGGGAAUCUUCCACAAUGGGCGAAAGCCUGAUGGAGCAACGUCGCGUGGGUGAAGAAGGUCCUCUGAUUGUAAAACCCCGUUGUUAGAGAAGCAAGUGCGUGCGAGUAACUGUUCCCGUUUCUACGGUAUCUAACCAGAUAGCCUCGGCUAACUACGUGCCAGCCGCCGCGGUAAUACGUAGGUGGGAAGUGUUAUCCGGUUUUAUUGGGAGUAAAGGGAACGCGGGCGGUCUUUUAAGUCUGAUGUGAAAGACUUCGGCGUAAACGGAGUAGUGCAGUGGAAACUGGAAGACUGGAGUGCGGAAGAGGAGGGUGGAA
rnacentral:rRNA from 1 species